CGUGUAGGUGGAUUUCUAAGUCAGAUGUGAAAUACCUCUGCUCAACAGAGGAACUGCAUUUGAAACUGGUUAUCUUGAGUGUAGGAUGAGAGAGUGGAAUUUUCGGUGUAGCGGUGAAAUGCGUAGAUAUCGAGAAGAACACCAGUGGUGCAAACGGCUCUCUGGCCUAACACUGACACUGAGGCGCGAAAGCUAGGGUAGCGAACG
rnacentral:rRNA from 1 species